CGCGCGCCGCCAUCUUGGGUCCUCUGCGUGCACCGCCUUAGGUGUCCGCCGCCUGGGCGGGAAACAGCGACUGCGCUGCGGGGGUUCCGGGGCAAGUUCCCCCGGCCCGUGCUGCUGUGAGUGCAGGCGGGGCUGCGGACACCAGGGGCGCCCACGCCGCGUGGCUCCUGCAGGAUGACGUGGCGUGGGCCCAGCACUCCCAAGAGGCCUGGUUGCGUGGGGCUGUCCCGCUCUGACCCCCCCCACCAAUAACCAAGCCCCUGCCCCACGCCUCCCCACCUGCCCCCACACAGGGGGUUGCAGCGUCACUCGCUCAAAUUUGGCCCAGCUGUGUCCUGCCCUCUCUCCCACCCCUAGUCGGGGAGGCUGGGUCAAAACUGAGCAACACCGUGCCCCAGGACCAGCUUGCGACACGCGCAGGUCCAGCCGGGCCCUGGACCUGGGGUAGGAGCCACCACAGAGGGAAAUAAAAGGCAGAGACUGGCCAGGGAUGGUUUCUACACCAGUUGUGAGUUCAAUUUAUAAAACAGACUGCCAGUCACCUGCCCUACAAGGCAAAGCACCUUACCACACCCUGGUCCCCUGGCUACCAACCAGAUCGCUGACCUAAGGAAUCCAGCACAAGCAGUGGGGAACGUUACCAUUGUAUCUUCUGCUGCGAUGUCUUGCUCUCCAGCACAAGCUUCUGAUUAGCCAGCUCCAGGUCCCGUGCUGUGAGGUCCAGCUGCUCAUAGACCUUAGCGUGCUGUUCGUUCAUCUGGCGCAACAUCUCCAGCUGUUUCGUGAGGUACUGCAAAAAAAUUCAGGAGUCCGUGAAAUGUGAGGCAAUCCAAGACCUGUGUUUGUGCACAAAGCCCAUCCCCGAACCACCUCCCUUUUCACUGUGUCAUCAAGGGACUUGAUCGUGCAAGAUACUGAGAUCCCUCACUGUCCACUGACUUCCAGGGAAGUUCAUGCUUUUGGUUCAUCUGCCUAAAGGAACCACGUUAUCCUCACUCUUCCCCAG